rnacentral:rRNA from 1 species
UACGUAGGGUGCAAGCGUUGUCCGGAAUUAUUGGGCGUAAAGAGCUCGUAGGCGGUUCGUCGCGUCGGCUGUGAAAAACCCGGAGCUCAACUCCGGGCCUGCAGUCGAUACGGGCGGACUCGAGUUCGGCAGGGGAGACUGGAAUUCCUGGUGUAGCGGUGAAAUGCGCAGAGUAUCAGGAGGAACACCGGUGGCGAAGGC